AACGAACGCUGGCGGCACGUUUUAAGCAUGCAAGUCGAACGGCAGUGGGGGCAACCCCAUGAGAGUGGCGGACGGGUGAGUAACACGUAGGUGAUCUGCCUUUGGGUUGGGGAUAGCUUGUGGAAACACAGGGUAAUACCGAAUGAGCUGACGAGGCUUUGGCCAUGUUAGUAAAGGUGCUACGGCACCGCCCAGAGAGGAGCCGGCGGCUGAUUAGCUAGUUGGUGGGGUAAAGGCCUACCAAGGCGACGAUCAGUAGCCGGCCUGAGAGGGUGUACGGCCACACUGGAACUGAGACACGGUCCAGACUCCUACGGGAGGCAGCAGCUAAGAAUCUUCCGCAAUGGGCGAAAGCCUGACGGAGCGAUGCCGCGUGAUCGAUGAAGGUCGAGAGAUUGUAAAGAUCUUUUCCAACUGAGGAAUAAGUGGACCAGGGAAUGGGUUCAUGAUGACGUUAAGUUGGGAAUAAGCCCCGGCUAAUUACGUGCCAGCCGCCGCGUAA
rnacentral:rRNA from 1 species